AUUGCUUCUGCUCUGAUCAUGUGUAGUAUCUGUUCUUAUCGGUUUAAUAUUUGAUACGCCCCCUAUCCGGGGACUACAUGUUAAAUUGAUUUUUGGAUCACGGAGCUGGAGCCGGGGCUUGCUCCGUAAAAAAAACACGGGAGCGUGGACGCCGGGGCGUUACUACCGUAA
rnacentral:snRNA from 1 species